UACAGAGAGUGCGAACGUUGUUCGGAAUUACUGGGCUUAAAGCGCACGUAGGCGGCAUCGUAAGUGUCCGGUGAAAUCCCACGGCUCACCCGUGGAACUGCCUGGCAGACUGCGAUGCUCGAGUCCGGUAGAGGAGUGUGGAAUUCCCGGUGUAGCGGUGAAAUGCGCAGAUAUCGGGAGGAACACCCGUAGCGAAGGCGGCACUCUGGGCCGGAACUGACGCUGAGGAGCGAAAGCGUGGGGAGCAAACAGG
rnacentral:rRNA from 1 species